GACGAACGCUGGCGGCGUGCUUAACACAUGCAAGUCGAACGGAAAGGCCCUGCUUUUGUGGGGUGCUCGAGUGGCGAACGGGUGAGUAACACGUGAGUAACCUGCCCUUGACUUUGGGAUAACUUCAGGAAACUGGGGCUAAUACCGGAUAGGAGCUCCUGCUGCAUGGGGGGGGUUGGAAAGUUUCGGCGGUUGGGGAUGGACUCGCGGCUUAUCAGCUUGUUGGUGGGGUAGUGGCUUACCAAGGCUUUGACGGGUAGCCGGCCUGAGAGGGUGACCGGCCACAUUGGGACUGAGAUACGGCCCAGACUCCUACGGGAGGCAGCAGUGGGGAAUAUUGCACAAUGGCCGGAAGCCUGAUGCAGCAACGCCGCGUGCGGGAUGACGGCCUUCGGGUUGUAAACCGCUUUCGCCUGUGACGAAGCGUGAGUGACGGUAAUGGGUAAAGAAGCACCGGCUAACUACGUG
rnacentral:rRNA from 1 species